rnacentral:rRNA from 1 species
AACGAACGCUGGCGGCGUGCCUAACACAUGCAAGUCGUGCGAGAAAGUUCCUUCGGGAGCGAGUAAAGCGGCGCACGGGUGAGUAACACGUAGGUAACCUGCCCCCCAGUCUGGAACAACUAGAGGAAACUCUAGCUAAUGCCGGAUGAGACCACGAUCCCUUCGGGGGUUGCGGCCAAAGAUGGCCUCUACUUGUAAGCUAUCGCUGAGGGAUGGGCCUGCGGGCCAUUAGCUUGUUGGUGAGGUAACGGCUCACCAAGGCUGUGAUGGCUAGCUGGUCUGAGAGGAUGACCAGCCACACUGGGACUGAGGCACGGCCCAGACUCCUACGGGAGGCAGCAGUGGGGAAUAUUGCGCAAUGGGCGAAAGCCUGACGCAGCGACGCCGCGUGGGUGAUGAAGGCCU